CAAAAUCUAAAACUUGAAGUUAUCAAAUUUGAAACCCACAAAACACCCGACAUGAGAAACAUUUGAAAUUUGGGGAAACUCUCUCUGUCACUUCCUCUCGUUUUUCUCUAAUCCGAUCUUAGGAAAUUCGCAUUUUCAUAGCUCGUUUGAUACACGAAGGUAGACAGUCAAUCUGUUUAUUGACGUCCUGACCGGGCGAUGGAUACCCAUAUUCCCAAAGCCAUAUUCGUCUCAUUUUGGCCUAACCCAAAUGUGUCUCUCUUCACAAGCUGACCAACCAAACCUAAGAGGCAUUUUUCGAAAACAUUCAAUAAAGCCAAAGUCGAGAUAUAUCUUCAUAUUUUUUCAUCAAAUGUGGAAUUUAAGGUUUCUGGAAACCGAAGUGCAACUUCCUCUUGCUUUGGAUUAAUCAAUCACAGGUGAGAUUUCCAUUUAAGGAUUUGUUUGGCUAUUGAGAAAAUAUUGGGGCCGAAGGUCUUAUAUUUUAGGGUUUAUUGUAUUUUGAUUCAUUUUCGCAUGAAUGAAAUAAAGAGAAAAUUUGUUUUGGUUAAAGAAAUUUCCAGAUGGAGUUAAAUUGAGUUCAUCCUAGCAAUAGGAGCAAAGUUUUUCAAUAAUCAUUAGCCCUGGCCAGUGGAUAGGCCUAAACUACCAAUUUAGCUUUCUAUCACUUUGUACGAUUUAAUCUAUGUUAUACUAUAUCUUCUUUCAAUAAACCUAUUUUUCACAUAAUAGCCCAGCUGUUCGAAGUUGGAAUAAUUUUAGAUUAGUUUCCUUCAAGAAAGAGAAGUCAUCAAAUCUCUUAUGAAAUCAUGUUCUUCUUUGAUGGCUUGUUAGGUUUCUCUAGGGAAAGAGGAAUAGGGAAGUAGGAACACUUAGGAAAAAGUUUGUAGAUUACAAACUAAAAAAGUUAGUUACAAUUUGGGGCAAUGUACUUUUAAAGACUGCUUAAGAAAGACAAAACCCCUAACAAUAAUUUGGAGCAGAGUAUAAUAGUCACCAAAAACUCAGGGUAGUGGUCUUCUCCUUAACACCCCCCUUGCCUACCAUUAUAGCAACUCAAGCCUAAGCCAUAAGAUUCACAAAUCGCUCAACAGUGUUGUGACAAGGCUCAGAUGUGUCCAAGAGAUAGUAUAACAGCAAAGCACAAAGUUGCAACGAAGCAAUGGGGUAAGGUGUUAUUCAAUUGCAAAACUUGUUACCCAUUAUAUCUGGCAGUCUUCUAUAGUUCCAUUAAAAAAAAAUUUAAAAUAAAAAUAAAACAAAAUUCUCUUUAGGUGGCCAUGAUUGGAAGCCCAAUGUUAUCAAACAACAAAAACUAAUCUAUUGUAUUGUGGGUAGUUUCUAAAUUUCUCUCCAACUUUCCUGGAAAAUCUCAUAUGCUAUUGAAAUCAAGAAUGAAUCAACUAGAAUAUUCGAAUUUCCAUAAAAUAAAAAAAUAAAAUAAAAAUGGAGUUAAAGUAGUAGAAUGUCCACAACAAUGAGUAGCAUCAAUAGCUAGUGAACCCAAACAAGUAGAUUAGACAAAACAGGCACAUAAGGUCUUCAAUAAACAAAAUUUGUUCCCUUUAUUUUUCUCCAACUUUCUCUGCAUAUUCCAUAGAUCAAGGAAACCAAGAAACCAAGAAACCAAAAAACAGAGUCAGAAAAAUAGUACCAUGUUUUGCACACAGUUUACUAAACUAAAACAAUUGAGAUAACCAAGCUUCGAACAACACCGUUCAUUUUUUUUUCUUUUUUUUGGGGAAUUGUGAAGCAAAUAUGAGUUGGAAUUUGAAAAAAAAAAAAAAAAAAAAGGAAACUUUAGUUUCCAACCUAUGAUUAGGAAAAUAUAUGGUUUUGGAAUCCUACAUAAGUGAAAUAUGAGAUUUCCCUGUUAAUGGGGAAAAUAUUAUAUUUCUCUUUCACUAUAUACUGUUUACAUAUGCAUUUCCAAAAUUGCCCUUUAAUGUUUCCCUGUCAGCUUAUUCUCACCCAUUUAUAUACUUGGUCACUAAAAACCAUGGGUCUCUCUAACUUCCCAACAAAUAAAAAAAAAAAGUACUAUAACAAAGUGAUCUACAUCAGGUUUGUAUUUUAAGACUGGUUUCUACAUCAAUUGUGUUUAAAGUUGUGAUAAAAAUAAAAAAAAAUACUUAACAAUAUCAUGGAUUGGCCUUCUAUGUCGGGGUUGAUUUGUUUUGGCAAUUGAGAUAUGAAUAUAUUUAAACUAUUCAAAAUUGGCACUUGAUCUUGAUUUUUAUUUAAAAUUAUUAUGGAAAAAUUAAAAUCUCUAUGGAUCUUUUCUAUGAUACAAUUCAAUGGUAUUACAUCUGUUCAGUUCUCUUACCACUUACUAUUCUAGUUUGAAGUAUAUUGUCCAAAUUUGGAUUGCUUAUAUUUGCACUAACUUUUGUUUCCAACUCACUUUUCAUAAGUUCAGGCGUACUCGG
rnacentral:lncRNA from 1 species